CUUCCCAUUUAUUUGCUGCCAUAGUCUUACAAUGAUAUGGGCAGUUAUACGCAUGGGAUAAAAUAAUACUGGUCCAUCAUAAAUUGAGGUGAAGUAACCAUUUUCAUCUCUUGUACAUGGACUAGACAUUG
ensembl:snoRNA SNORA20 small nucleolar RNA, H/ACA box 20